AGUGACCGCUGUCGGUAGGCCUAACACAUGCAAGUCGAACGAGUGGCGGACGGGUGAGGAAUACAUCGGCAUCUACUCUGUCGUGGGGGAUCACGUAGGGCAACUUAUGCUAAUACCGCAUACGAUUGAAUGAGCCGAUGUCGGAUUAGCUAGUUGGCGGGGUAAAGGCCCACCAAGGCGAAGAUCCGUAGCUGGUCUGAGAGGAUGAUCAGCCAGACUGGAACUGAGACACGGUCCAGACUCCUACGGGAUGCAGCAGUGGGAAAUAUUGGACAAUGGUCGCAAGCCUGAUGCAGCCAUGCCGCGUGGGUGAAGAAGGCCUUCGGGUUGUAAUGCCCUUUUGUUGGGGAAGCGGUACUCACAGAAUAAGCACCGGCUAACUUCGUGCCAGCAGCCGCGGUAAUAC
rnacentral:rRNA from 1 species